rnacentral:lncRNA from 1 species
UUUUUAAUUGAAUGAGAAAUUAAAGUAGUUCCCUAUUAUUAAUAAGUAUCUUACAUCUCUUCUUUAUUGAUAUAAAUCAAGCAUUCUAUUUAUCAACUUAAAAGGUAGUAAAAAUUUCAUUGUUGAAUUGAAUGUUGAUGUGCUGUCGGGUUUUCAUCAUUCAAUUUUUAUGUGUUGUAUAUUUUGAAUUGAACUUUUUAAAGAUUUUAUAUCUUAAUAUUAACUUUCCAAAAAACUAUUACAUAUUAAAUUUGGACUUGAUUUGAAUUUGGAGUAAGUUU